rnacentral:rRNA from 1 species
GACGUAGGGUGCAAGCGUUGUCCGGAUUUAUUGGGCGUAAAGAGCUCGUAGGCGGUUUGUUGCGUCGGCUGUGAAAUCCCGAGGCUCAACCUCGGGUCUGCAGUCGAUACGAGCAAACUAGAGUGUUGCAGGGGAGACUGGAAUUCCUGGUGUAGCGGUGAAAUGCGCAGAUAUCAGGAGGAACACCGGUGGCGAAGGCGGGUCUCUGGGCAAAAACUGACGCUGAGGAGCGAAAGCGUGGGGAGCGAACAGG